AACGCGAAGAACCUUACCUGGGCUCGAACGGCCGGUUAACGAUCGUGGAAACAUGGUUACUCCGCAAGGAGGUCCGGUCGAGGUGCUGCAUGGCUGUCGUCAGCUCGUGUCGUGAGAUGUUGGGUUAAGUCCCGCAACGAGCGCAACCCUUGUCCUGUGUUGCCAUUCCGCAAGGAGGAACUCGCAGGAGACCGCCAGCGAUAAGCUGGAGGAAGGUGGGGAUGACGUCAAGUCCUCAUGGCCUUUAUGUCCAGGGCUACACACGUGCUACAAUGGCCGGUACAAAGCGUCGCUAAGUCGCGAGACGGAGCCAAUCGCAAAAAACCGGUCUCAGUUCGGAUUGCAGGCUGCAACUCGCCUGCAUGAAGCUGGAAUCGCUAGUAAUGGCGUAUCAGAACGAUGCCGUGAAUACGUUCCCGGGUCUUGUACACACGC
rnacentral:rRNA from 1 species